rnacentral:rRNA from 1 species
UACGUAGGGCGCAAGCGUUAUCCGGAAUUAUUGGGCGUAAAGAGCUCGUAGGCGGACUGUUGCGUCUGCUGUGAAAAGCUGGGGCUUAACCCUGGCCUUGCAGUGGAUACGGGCAGACUAGAGGUAGGUAGGGGAGAAUGGAAUUCCCGGUGUAGCGGUGAAAUGCGCAGAUAUCGGGAGGAACACCGGUGGCGAAGGCGGUUCUCUGGGCCUUGACCUGACGCUGAGGAG